CCGUGCAAUGGAAUGCGAAUGCGACGCUGCUUUCCCGUCGGCUCGCCGGCCGGGCCGGCGACAGGAACGGCACACGGCCGGUGAUGGCGCCGGUGCACGUACACGACCGAUGUACACCGAGUUAGUUGCAAAAGACUACCACAAUUCGGGCCGUAUUCAUAAGUUGAUGUCAUCUUUCAAUUUUUUUCAAAUACGUAUCAAGAUACAGGCCGUAUUUUGCAGAUCCCGUAUUUCUACGUAUAGAUGCUCUUUCUGACACACAUGACCCACCAGUCAGUCUCUUACACGGAAAACCGGCCCGGACCGCUUUGAUCCGGAAAAAACCGACUCUCUCUCUCCAGCUGGACCGGACAGGCAAAAAAAAACCUUCUUCUCCUNNNN
rnacentral:lncRNA from 1 species